rnacentral:lncRNA from 1 species
GUUAAAUUACAGUCUGGGAACAAGCCAUGUCCCACACCAGGCAGAUGCUGGAGAGGGUGGCAUUGGUUGGGAGGAGGGCAGGCAUCUUGCUGAAGAGGAAGAGGAAGGGGAGGGAAGCAUUGUCUCAGCAGAAGAAUGUUAUUCUCCAGCCCUGAACACUCCACAGACAGAGAAGGCAAGGAGCAAAUGAAGUGGUCUCGGGCUGAAGUGCUCGCCCAUCAGGCGUUUGAAUGGCUGUUUGUCGCUGCAGACUGCGUGGCUCGAGGCAGAGAUUCCAGUGACAGAUGGAUCUCUCUCGUGCGCACUUGCUCUUUCCUUCUCUGUAUUUUUGUUUUCGACAUGUUUGAUCCAAAGCUCUGAAGCUUCUCAGAGGGAACCCAGGAAAGAAGGAAGGGAAGGAGUAGAAACCAAGGGAGCGUGAGCGACACAGGAGGCAGCCCUGCCUUGUUCUUCCAAAUCACACUGUGGAGGGGCGGGGGAAGACUAGAGGGGGAGGACUUGG